ensembl:snoRNA SNORA73 Small nucleolar RNA SNORA73 family
CCAACAUGGAUACUCCCGGGAGGUCACUCUCCCUGGGCUCUGUCCAGGUGGCAUGGAGGACCACAGGGCUCAGCCCCAUGAUGUACAGUCCUUUUUCACGUCAGAGAUCAAGCUGGGCCUUGAGUCUGCCUGCAUAUUCCUACAGCUUCUCAGAGUCCCGUGGACAAUGACUGAGGAGACAAACCACGUGGGAAACAGCC